UACCCCACCCCCGUGAAGCCAUGGGAGUGCAAUGACUCCAACCACACCGAUGUCAUCGGUGUCCCCAGUGUCAAAGAUGAACCCAACAGAGCAGUGGUUCUCAACCUGUGGGUCUCAACCACUCUGGGGAUUGCACAUCAGACCCCCCUGCAUAUCAAAUACCCACACUAUGAUUCAUAACAGUAGCAAAAUUGCAGUUAUGAAGUAGCAACGAAAUAAUUUGGGGGGGGUCACCACCACAUGAGAAACUGUAUUAAUAAAGGGUUGCAGCAUCAGGAGGGUUGAGAACCACUGCUCCAGAAAGAUGUGGGGAGAUCAGUGACUAAGUAUACUAGCCAAAGGCGGCUUGGAGAGGCCUAGAAAUACCGAGAGGAAACAUUAACCACCUCAAUCAGCAACAGGGGCAAGUAGGAGACUCGCCAAAUCAGAAGAGGCCGUACAAGCAACCCCGAGAGCCCCGCGCUGCAGUUCCUGUGCGUCUCUGUCAUCCUUGAGUUUCAUGUUGCCAUUUCCUGGUCUCUCUGGUGUAAAUAUUUUCCAUUCUUAAAAACAAAAAAGUGUAAAUACUGAUUGUAUAUUUUGUUCUUGUCUUUUCUAAAGUGGAAGUUGAUCUGGAUAAUAAAUCACAAGUCAUCU
rnacentral:lncRNA from 1 species